rnacentral:rRNA from 1 species
UACGUAGGGGGCGAGCGUUACCCGGAUUUACUGGGCGUAAAGGGGGCGUAGGCGGACGUGCAAGUCCGGUGUGAAAACUCACGGCUCAACCGUGGGACUGCGCUGGAAACUACACGGCUUGAGGACGGUAGAGGGAGACGGAACUGCUGGUGUAGGGGUGAAAUCCGUAGAUAUCAGCAGGAACGCCGGUGGAGAAGUCGGUCUCCUGGGCCGUUCCUGACGCUGAGGCCCGAAAGCUAGGGGAGCAAACCGG